AUCGAGGAGACACGCCUCUUGUUUCUAUGCCGUCCGGUGCUUUCUCCAACCCUCUCCUACUCUUUUAGGUUUGACUUUUCAAAACUUUGUGCUUGCGGUUCUUUUUAAUUCGGAUUCUGAAGCUUUAUUUAUCUUGUUUGUGGUGAUUUUGUAAUGGUUUUGUUGAAUUUUGCUCAAGACGAAGCAAAAGAAGGAGCCUUUCACCGCUAAAAUUCCAAAGAAGCCCAAGAAGAAGGUAGAGAGGAACUGGAAUUAAAUAUUAAGGAUGAAUCUGAUGAGUUCAGAUUACCAACUGACCAGGAACUAGAACAAGAGGCGCAUCAACCUCCUGAUCUUUCACACCUUCAGGGGAGGUUAAAAGAGACUGUUGGAAAAACUUGCAUGCUGAUCUCUUAUACCAACAUUACCUUCCCCACUGUAAGAAGCAUGGUGUUAAUUUCAUCAUGAUUCAUAUAUAACUAAUCAGUCAAGUUUGUUUCAUUGAUUUAUGACAUAUUUUUUAAUUGCUAAUGUGGUGGUGGAUGGAAGCACAGUUAACCUUUGGAUUAUGGGACACUGCAGGUAAGUAAUUGUUCUAUGUGGGUGCUUGGUUUCUACUAGUCUGCUAUUUUACCAUGGUGAAGAUUAUCAAGGUUAUAUUACUGAUUGAAGUAACUGCCCUACAUAACACAAAAUGACUAAUAAUAUAGCCUGGAUAACAAAAACUGUGUUAUUCCUAAGAAAAUGUUCUUUUAAAAGACUUUAUGCCAUCAUAUUUUCACUUUCUGUCUGGAUUAUUAAUUUGGUGGAUUUUGCAUAAAAGAUGGUUUGGAUUGAUAAUAUGUUAGAAUAAAUACCAUGAACCUUCACAUAUGUGCAAUAUGCAUAUGCUUAAUCUGUAAUUAUAUGAUUGGGAGAAAAUUGAGCGCUUGUUACUAAGUUUGGGAUGUUCUAACUUGCUUCGUUACUAUGUUUCAGGCUGGUCUUAUAAGCGCUUAUAUCAUAAAAACACUCUACUUUGGAAGGCAUUCUACAGAUCGUGAAGUUGCUCUCAUGAUGCUUAUGGCUUAUUUGUCAUACAUGUUGGCUGAGGUACCCUAAAACAGAAUAUGGAUAACUACAACUACUUGGAACUUAAUUAUGAAGGUUUUAAGUGAAUGCAGAAGAUUAUUACAAAGGAACUGAUAAUGUUUUAGAUUUUAGCAUGGUGAUGAUAUGUUGGUUUAGUUAAGUUGUUUUUGUACAAUACUCAAUUGUUGUUGGCAUAUAAAUGUAUAAUUUACAUUUUCUAAUGUGAUACUUGCAGUUUGU